CUUCAUUGAAUCUGGGCUAAGUUUGGACAUGUAAACAUGUUUGCAGACUGGUACUGCCGUAACCAAAUGGAUUCUGGAUGACUGAAAGCUCAACCAAGAGCACUACAGGUUGUAUGUAUAAAGAGUCGUUCAUUGAAUAAUUCUUGAGAAGUU
rnacentral:lncRNA from 13 species